rnacentral:rRNA from 1 species
GACGAACGCUGGCGGCGUGCCUAAUACAUGCAAGUCGAGCGAAGAUUUUCUGGUGCUUGCGCCGGAACAACUUAGCGGCGAACGGGUGAGUCACACGUAAAGAACCUGCCUCAUUGGCUGAGACUACUGUUGGAAAGGAUAGCUCAUACCGGAUAACAGCAUUAACUGCAUGGGUGAUGAUUAAAAGUUGGUUUUGCUAACACUAUGAGAUGGCUUUGCGGUGCAUUAGCUAGUUGGUGGGGUAAAGGCCUACCAAGGCGACGAUGCAUAUCCGACCGGAGAGGGGGAUCGGCCACACUAGAACUGAGACGGCGCCCAGAGUCCUACGGGAGGCAGCAGUCGGGAAUCUGCGGCAAUGGUCGAAAGCCUGGCGGAGCAACGCCGCGUGUGUUAAGGAGGCUUUCGGUUCGUGAAGCUCUCUUGUUAGGUAAGAAUGAUUUUGUAGUAUCACGACGCGGUAGUGACGGUACCUAGCCAGAAAGCCACGGCUAACUACGUG